CAUCCUACGGGAGGCAGCAGUGAGGAAUAUUGGUCAAUGGUCGGGAGUCUGAACCAGCCAAGCCGCGUGAGGGAUGAAGGUACAGAGUAUCGUAAACCUCUUUUGUCAGGGAACAAAGGCGGGGACGUGUACCCGGAUGAGUGUACCUGAAGAAAAAGCAUCGGCUAACUACGUGCCAGCAGCCGCGGUGAUACGGAGGAUGCGAGCGGUAUCCGGAUUUAUUGGGUUUAAAGGGUG
rnacentral:rRNA from 1 species